CAGAGUCUCCUAGGAAAUUGCCGGCACCUCUGGGAGAGGGAACCUCCUAAACUGUUAGCGGCCCACGCCCGCGGUGGGGAUUCGUUGGCCGCCAGUGUGUGGAGCUGGGCCUGGAGAGCGGGACCCGGGAUGGAGAACAGAAGCCAAAGAGGGGGACUGACUUGUACAAAGAGGGGAAAACAUCCUUCCUUCCUACAGAUGUUAUGAGGAUCAAGAGAGAGAAUGCAUGGAAAAGAGCUUUGUAAACUGAAAAUGGCUUUAUAAAUACUAACCUUGGAGCAGUUACAGAAAGGAAGUCUGAGAACUCUCCACAGGAAGAACAGAACAGAACAGUUGUGAGCUCAAGUUGGGGACUGUAAACCAUAAGGCAAAGAUGAUCCUGGACUGAGCACCUGGAUGAGAGAAGCCCCCAGGGCACUUCCAGCCAAUAUCCUAGCAGAGAAAGGUUUGUGACUUGUCAGAUACCCUUAUGCCUAA